AAAUGUCUAUCACUCUGCGCGCUAAUCAGAGACCGGGGCUGAAUAUUGAAAAGUGCAGUCAGGUACCUGAAGUAGCGCGCGAAGUUUUAGUCA
rnacentral:pre_miRNA from 1 species